CUAAAAAUUAAAGAAGGUGCUCUCAGCUUUAUGGGUCUUGGAGAUACCACAGUUACACAACAUUUCCCCACCAGACACUGCUGGAUGGUAAAAUUUGCCACACAGCAGUUGGUUUUGAGUCAAGAGGAAGGUGCUAGUUCCUGAAGAGACACCUGGAGAAAUGUUUUGUUGCAGACUGAAAUUCCAUGUAACAGGUCUCUGCAGCCAAUUGAUCACAUUCUCCUCUUUGCAAAGCAAGAGUUUAUUUCUUCAGAUUUUGGGGCCCCUGUGUAAACAUACACAAACAGAAGACCAGAAUAAUUCCGUGCAGCUGGAAAUUGAUGGCUUCUGCGAGUGGAAAAACUGGUGUACUCAGAUUGCAGCCGCAAUGUGCUAGAAACAUUCGCACAAUGCAAACAGAUGGAAUCGGAUGAAUUAACACGCGCUACUUUUGGACACUUCUGGGUUACUAUUAAUAGUUCUCUGCUUUAGAUUAAUGCACAGCAUAUGUCAUGUAACAUCGACUUUAAAUUAUCUGCUAGAAUGUGUCCCAGGCUCAAGAUUUUUUUUUGAAGUCCCAAAAUAGUUCCUUUUUAACUCCCUGCCCUCUUCUUCC